ensembl:misc_RNA Gm24629 predicted gene, 24629
CGCCGAUCCAAUGGUAAUGGGUUGUCAGUGCUGAUAUUCAUGUCCCUAAUGUUGUACACCGCUCCCAUUACCAAAUUUGACUGGCUUUG